rnacentral:rRNA from 1 species
GACGGAGGGUGCUAGCGUUGUUCGGAAUUACUGGGCGUAAAGGGCGCGUAGGCGGCCUGUUAAGUCGGGUGUGAAAGCCCGGGGCUCAACCCCGGAACGGCACCCGAGACUGGCGGGCUUGAGACCGAGAGAGGAGAGUGGAAUACCCAGUGUAGAGGUGAAAUUCGUAGAUAUUGGGUGGAACACCAGUGGCGAAAGCGGCUCUCUGGCUCGGUUCUGACGCUGAGGCGCGAAAGCGUGGGGAGCAAACAGG